GAUGAACGCUGGCGGCGUGCCUAACACAUUCAAGUCGAACGGUGACGAGUCCUUCGGGACUCUGAUCAGUGGCGGACGGGUGAGUAACGCGUGAGCAACCUGCCUAUCAAAGAGGGAUAACACAUGGAAACGUGUGCUAAUACCGCAUGAAGCAACGAGGCCGCAUGGUUUUGUUGUUAAAGGGCAACCGAUGAUAGAUGGGCUCGCGUUGGAUUAGAUAGUUGGUGGGGUAACGGCCUACCAAGUCGACGAUCAGUAGCCGGACUGAGAGGUUCAACGGCCACAUUGGGACUGAGAUACGGCCCAGACUCCUACGGGAGGCAGCAGUCGGGAAUAUUGCGCAAUGGAGGGAACUCUGACGCAGUGACGCCGCGUAUAGGAAGAAGGUUUUCGGAUUGUAAACUAUUGUCGAUAGGGAAGAUAAAAGACUGUACCUAUCAAGAAAGCUCCGGCUAACUACGUG
rnacentral:rRNA from 1 species